GAUGAACGCUGGCGGCGUGCCUAAUACAUGCAAGUCGAGCGAACAGAUGAGGAGCUUGCUCCUCUGACGUUAGCGGCGGACGGGUGAGUAACACGUGGAUAACCUACCUAUAAGACUGGGAUAACUUCGGGAAACCGGAGCUAAUACCGGAUAAUAUAUUGAACCGCAUGGUUCAAUAGUGAAAGACGGUCUUGCUGUCACUUAUAGAUGGAUCCGCGCCGCAUUAGCUAGUUGGUAAGGUAACGGCUUACCAAGGCAACGAUGCGUAGCCGACCUGAGAGGGUGAUCGGCCACACUGGAACUGAGACACGGUCCAGACUCCUACGGGAGGCAGCAAUAGGGAAUCUUCCGCAAUGGGCGAAAGCCUGACGGAGCAACGCCGCGUGAGUGAUGAAGGUCUUCGGAUCGUAAAACUCUGUUAUUAGGGAAGAACAAAUGUGUAAGUAACUAUGCACGUCUUGACGGGACCUAAUCAGAAAGCCACGGCUAACUACG
rnacentral:rRNA from 1 species